UUGGACAUCGUGAGGUUAGUGCAAUGGCAUAAGCCCGCUUAACUGCGAGAAUGACGGUUCGAGCAGGUGCGAAAGCAGGUCAUAGUGAUCCGGUGGUUCUGUAUGGAAGGGCCAUCGCUCAACGGAUAAAAGGUACUCCGGGGAUAACAGGCUGAUACCGCCCAAGAGUUCAUAUCGACGGCGGUGUUUGGCACCUCGAUGUCGGCUCAUCACAUCCUGGGGCUGAAGUCGGUCCCAAGGGUAUGGCUGUUCGCCAUUUAAAGUGGUACGCGAGCUGGGUUUAGAACGUCGUGAGACAGUUCGGUCCCUAUCUGCCGUGGGCGUUGGAAGAUUGAAGGGGGCUGCUCCUAGUACGAGAGGACCGGAGUGGACGAACCUCUGGUGUUCGGGUUGUGUCGCCAGACGCAUUGCCCGGUAGCUAAGUUCGGAAUUGAUAAGCGCUGAAAGCAUCUAAGCGCGAAGCGAGCCCUGAGAUGAGUCUUCCCUGAUACUUUAAGUAUCCUAAAGGGUUGUUCGAGACUAGAACGUUGAUAGGCAGGGUGUGUAAGCGUUGUGAGGCGUUGAGCUAACCUGUACUAAUUGCCCGUGAGGCUUAACCAUACAACACCCA
rnacentral:rRNA from 1 species